rnacentral:lncRNA from 1 species
UAUCCAGCUGGCCUUUCAAAUCAGUCUAUUCUCUUAUUUUUCAUUCUCAGUUGCUUCCACCCUGUCAACUGGAGGUGCUUCUACUUCCUCAGCUGCUGGCAUCCAAAUACUCCUGUAUGCUCUGCUGCCCCUCAAGUUGAGUGGGCAGGUCAAAGCCCUGACACCUCCUGGGAAUUGAUGGCUCAAAAAUCAGUCUAUUAAAGUGUUCCUGAAUGGAUAGCAGGGGACACUUUGCAGAGCGAACACAGAAGUGAGAGGAUAUGGAGAUUUACAGCAGAUGCUACUUCUGUAGUGGCCAAGAACCCUGGAAUGAUUCCAGAAUAGUGAUGAGCUCUCGUCCACACAUGAUUGCUCAGGCACUGACAUCUAUGGCGGCCAGUGUUUCAAGUUAUUGAAAAAGACUCUUGGUGCUGAGCCACCCAGGACUUAUCAUAAAGCAGAAGAAAGGAAGCCUGUCAAUGAGACCCCUGGUGGGAGGUGAGGAGAGGCACAGCAGCUGACAAAUGGGGGCCCGAAUCCAAGAAUGGACUAACAGGAAAUCUGCUCACUUCUCUGGACCAUUUGUUCCAUGCCGUCCAAACAUUGUUUUCUCAUUUGAAGGUAUGUUUGUGGGUUUACCAGACCUCAGUAUCCUAUUGUGGCUUCACUGAAACAGGUAGUCCCAGGCUGAAAUUUCUUGCUUACAAACACAUUCUGACUCUCCCAGUUUUAGUGGCCAUGAAGGGGUCUGCUACUAAGAAAAGAACAAGUGUUGCCAUAAAGCUCUCUCUUGAUGAGCCCAAAGUAUAUCCAUUUUAGUAAUCUGAGAUAUUUCUAAAAUUAUAUCAACUCAAAUUAGCUGUUAUUUCUCCUUUGUUAAAGAAAAAGAACAGAGAUGAAUUCGUUCCAUGUGCAUGAUUCAUUUUUAUCCUGAUAAAGUCUGUCCUUAAAUAGCAUUUGUAGUCUGUUUAUCUUUCAGCCUACCACUUGUAUGUCUAUAUUUAAGUUUAAAACAACCUAUCUUUUCAACUGAGAAAGAAUUAACCAUUUGAAUGUGCAUACAUGUUCAUAGUACUCAUAGUCAAUAAAACUUAGUACAGCUUUCUUCUGAUGUCUAAG